rnacentral:rRNA from 1 species
GGGAUAGAAUUCCAGGAGUAGCGGUGAAAUGCGUAGAUAUCUGGAGGAAUACCAAAGGCGAAGGCAGUCCCCUGGUCCGAUACUGACACUGAGGUACGAAAGCGUGGGGAGCAAACAGGAUUAGAUACCCUGGUAGUCCACGCCCUAAACGAUGUCGAUUAGCCAUUGGAAGGACCUCUUUUCCUUUCAGUGACGUAGCUAACGCGUUAAAUCGACCGCCUGGGAAGUACGACCGCAAGGUUAAAACUCAAAGGAAUUGACGGGGACCUGAACAAGCGGUGAAUGAUGUGGAUUAAUUCGAUGCUACGCGAAGAACCUUACCUACCUUUGACAUGGCCAAAGUUCUACCGAGAGGCGGAAGUACUCGUAAGAGGAUUGGCGCACAGGUGCUGCAUGGUUGUCGUCAGUUCGUGUCGUGAGAUGUUGGGUUCAGUCCCGCAACGAACGCAACCCUUAUCUUUAAUUGCUCCUAUUUUAACAGGCACUUUAAAGAAACUGCCAAUGAUAAGUUGGAGGAAGGUGGGGAUCACGUCAAGUCCGCAUGGCCUUUAUAGGUAGGGCUUCACACGUCACACAAUGGUUAGAACAAAGAGCUGCAAAUUCGUAAGAAGGAGCCAAUCUCACAAACCUAACCUCAGUUCGAAUUGCGGUCUGCAACUCGAGCGCAUGAAGCCGGAAUCGCUAGUAAUCGUGGAUCAGAAUGCCACGGUGAAUACGUUCUUAGGUCUU